GUCCGCACUGUAAACGAUGAUUACUCGCUGCUGGGGGGCAACCUUCAGUGGCUGAGCGAAAGCGAUAAGUAAUCCACCUGGGGGAGUACGCCGGCAAACGGUGAAAACUCAAAGGAAUUGACGGGGGCCCGCACAAGCGGAGGAGCAUGUGGUUUAAUUCGAUGAUACGCGAGGAACCUUACCAGGGCUUGAAAGUUAGUGACCGGUGGUGAAAGCCACCCUUCAGCAAUGACACGAAACUAGGUGCUGCAUGGCUGUCGU
rnacentral:rRNA from 1 species